CAUGCCCGAGUCCAGGAAGCCCGGUGAGGCCCACAUCAGUGAGCACUGAGGAUGUUGGCCCUUCCUGCUAAUGGAAGGAAAGUCCAGGAGAAAGAGAUAAAUGUUAAUGGGACCAAUGCAGCAACUCUAAGUAUUAACAUCACAAUGGAGACUCUUCAGAAGCUACUGGAGAAGAGGAACAUCCGUGCUCAGAAAGGAAAAUGGGAAGAGGAUUUCCAGAGGAAGAAAAACUUCUCUUCAGAGAUCUGCAGUAUGCUACCCACCUCCACAAAAGAGGCCAAAGAGCUCCAGAAGAGUGGCAAUCGGUUGCUAAAAACAAAGAAAAAUGGACUUCACAUCAUUUUUUCCCCCGGACAUCUGAUUGCAAAUAUAUCUGAGACAGGCCAAUGCUAA
rnacentral:lncRNA from 1 species